AGCAGUAGCCGCGGUAAUACGUAGGUGGCAAGCGCUGUCCGGAAUUAUUGGGCGUAAAGGGCUCGCAGGCGGUUUCUUAAGUCUGAUGUGAAAGCCCCCGGCUCAACCGGGGAGGGUCAUUGGAAACUGGAAACUUGAGUGCAGAAGAGGAGAGUGGAAUUCCACGUGUAGCGGUGAAAUGCGUAGAGAUGUGGAGGAACACCAGUGGCGAAGGCGACUCUCUGGUCUGCAACUGACGCUGAGGAGCGAAAGCGUGGGGAGCGAACAGGAUUAGAUACCCGAGUAGUCCCUGUCUCUUAUACA
rnacentral:rRNA from 1 species